rnacentral:rRNA from 1 species
CCUACGGGAGGCAGCAGUGGGGAAUAUUGCGCAAUGGGCGAAAGCCUGACGCAGCGACGCCGCGUGAGGGAUGAAGGUCUUCGGAUCGUAAACCUCUGUCAGCAGGGACGAACGGUCACUGUGCUAAUCAGCAGUGAAUUGACGGUACCUGCAAAGGAAGCACCGGCUAACUCCGUGCCAGCAGCCGCGGUACUACGGAGGGUGCGAGCGUUAAUCGGAAUUACUGGGCGUAAAGCGCUCGUAGGCGGUAUGGCAAGUCAAGGGUGAAAUCCCCGGGCUCAACGUUGGAACUGCCUUUGAAACUGGCAAACUUGAGUGUGUGAGAGGCUGGUGGAAUGCCAGGUGUAGGGGUGAAAUCCGUAGAUAUCUGGAGGAACAUCAGUGGCGAAGGCGACUAUCUGGCCCAUAACUGACGCUGAGGAGCGAAAGCGUGGGUAGCAAACAGGAUUAGAUACCCUUGUAGUC